rnacentral:rRNA from 1 species
UACAGAGGUCUCAAGCGUUGUUCGGAUUCAUUGGGCGUAAAGGGUGCGUAGGUGGCAUGGUAAGUUGAAGGUCGAAAUCUCGGAGCUCAACUCCGAAACUGCCUUCAAUACUGCUGUGCUUGAGGACUGUAGAGGAGAAUGGAAUUCACGGUGAUAGCAGUGAAAUGCGUAGAUAUCGUGAGGAAGACCAGUGGCGAAGGCGAUUCUCUGGGCAGUUCCGUGACACUGAGGC